rnacentral:rRNA from 1 species
ACGCUCGACACCUACGAGGCAGCAGUGGGGAAUAUUGCACAAUGGGGGAAACCCUGAUGCAGCGACGCCGCGUGGAGGAAGAAGGUCUUCGGAUUGUAAACUCCUGUUGUUGGGGAAAAAGAGGAUGGUACCCAACAAGGAAGUGACGGCUAACUACGUGCCAGCAGCGCGGUAAUCUGAGGCGGGCUGGCAAGGC